GAUCCAUCCAGAUAGCCAGCAACAAGUAUUCUCUCUAUUCCAUCAUCCUUAGUAGGUUGUCUGGGAAUACUACUACUUAGAGGCAUUUUGAUUUCCAAUUCAGUCACACCAUGAGCUGGACGGACUAGCGCAACCACAACUUCCUCUGAAGGAGUCCUUGAGGAAUUCCAUUUCCUAUCCACUGGAUAUAGGUAUGCCACAGUUAUACGUGGUUCAAGGGUAGGUACAAGUGUAGGAUACUUAACAGCAAAAUCUGCAUGCUCCUUCUCUGGGUUAGAUUUUAAAGCAGACAAGCUGGCCUUGUCAUAAAAGUGCAGUUUCCCGUCAAGGCUUCUUCUGAUCCAA
rnacentral:misc_RNA from 1 species